rfam:Strongyloides ratti strain ED321 Heterogonic genome assembly, chromosome: X
UCUCUGGUAGUAUAGUGGUGAGUAUCCGCGCCUGUCACGUGCGAGACCGGGGUUCGAUUCCCCGCCAGAGAG